CGAAGGGGGCUAGCGUUGUUCGGAAUUACUGGGCGUAAAGCGCACGUAGGCGGAUAUUUAAGUCGGGGGGUGAAAUCCCGGGGGCUCAACCCCGGAACUGCCUUCGAUACUGGGUAUCUUGAGUUUCGGAAGAGGUGAGUGGAAUUGCGAGUGUAGAGGUGAAAUUCGUAGAUAUUCGCAGGAACACCAGUGGCGAAGGCGGCUCACUGGUCCGAUACUGACGCUGAGGUGCGAAAGCGUGGGGGAGCAAACAGGAUU
rnacentral:rRNA from 1 species